rnacentral:rRNA from 1 species
GUGCCUACGGGACGCAGCAGUGAGGAAUAUUGGUCAAUGGGCUUACGCCUGAACCAGCCAAGUCGCGUGAGGGAAGACUGCCCUAUGGGUUGUAAACCUCUUUUGUCAGGGAGCAACGCCGGCUACGUGUAGCCGGACUGAGAGUACCUGAAGAAAAAGCAUCGGCUAACUCCGUGCCAGCAGCCGCGGUAAUACGGAGGAUGCGAGCGUUAUCCGGAUUUAUUGGGUGUAAAGGGCGUGUAGGCGGGAAUGCAAGUCAGAUGUGAAA